rnacentral:rRNA from 1 species
AAAGUGCGGGGAUGAGGUGUGGGUAGCGGAGAAAUUCCAAUCGAACUUGGAGAUAGCUGGUUCUCUCCGAAAUAGCUUUAGGGCUAGCCUCGAGGUAAAGAGUCAUGGAGGUAGAGCACUGUUUGGACUAGGGGCCCUUCUCGGGUUACCGAAUUCAGAUAAACUCCGAAUGCCAUGUACUUAUACUCGGGAGUCAGACUGCGAGUGAUAAGAUCCGUAGUCGAAAGGGAAACAGCCCAGACCACCAGUUAAGGUCCCCAAAUAUAUGUUAAGUGGAAAAGGAUGUGGGGUUGCUUAGACAACCAGGAUGUUGGCUUAGAAGCAGCCACCAUUGAAAGAGUGCGUAAUAGCUCACUGGUCGAGUGACCCCGCGCCGAAAAUGUACCGGGGCUAAACAUAUUACCGAAACUGUGGAUGAACCUCUUUAGAGGUUCGUGGUAGGAGAGCGUUCUAAGGGCGGUGAAGUCAGACCGGAAGGACUGGUGGAGCGCUUAGAAGUGAGAAUGCCGGUAUGAGUAGCGAAAGAAGGGUGAGAAUCCCUUCCACCGAAUAUCUAAGGUUUCCUGAGGAAGGCUCGUCCGCUCAGGGUUAGUCGGGACCUAAGCCGAGGCCGAUAGGCGUAGGCGAUGGACAACAGGUAGAGAUUCCUGUACCAGUGCUAAUUGUUUAACCGAUGGGGUGACACAGAAGGAUAGGGAAUCGCACGAAUGGAAAUGUGCGUCCAAGCAGUGAGUGUGAG